UUCAAACCCAGAUUUAGGGACUAAAAAAAAAAAAAAAUUAGGAUACAAGGACUAAAGUAAAAAACGCGCCAAUUUAUAAGGACGAAAAUAAUAUUUAAUCCAAAAUUUUGGGUUUGUGUUCAUAUCUUCAUCCCUAACCAUCAUACAAACCCUGAAUUUUUUCAAACCCAAAAUUAUUCCUUGUUUAUUUCUUAUUUUUUCUUUUCAUAAAAAUGAUUUCUCACACUUCUAUCAAG
rnacentral:lncRNA from 1 species